CUUACUUGUACUUGUGUUGCUUUAAUUGGUUAUUGUACGACGUUAUGCCUACUGAAAAGGUCACGCAACGUCGGAUGAACUUAUAUCACCUUGGUCCUUAUUCCGUCAUGUGAAUUCGCAAAUAUUCAGGUUCCUGCAGUAGAUAACAUGUUUUACAGUGAGGAGAAUAGUAGAUUUAAACAGGGGACGAGAGGCAGAAUAUGAGGAGUGGAUACGGAAAAGAAGAGAGUGUAAUAGGGAAGGAGAUACAGGGAGAGGAACACAGAAAUGAAGAUGGAACGAGUUAAAGAAAGGAAGACAGGAAAAUGUUUUACUCGGCUAUGGAAAAACUUCGGAGGUAGAAAGUAAGUUGACAGAACCGGCACGUGAUGACAACGUCGUGGGGAAACAUCUCACCUCAGACGAAGAAAUUAAAUGGGAAUUUGAAGGAAAAUAUACCGCGAAGUUCGUGGUUCGUACUGCGUUUCUUCUAUUGAAUGGCGUUUAGAUUAAGAAGCUUCAAGGAGACUGCUAAUACAAUGCUUCGGUAACUUCUGAUCUACACAGCGACGAGAUUCACAUGACGUUACAACCGAGAGGAGCAUCAUUGUCGAACAGAAGUUGCCUCGGUACAGAACCGAUUGGGGAAGAGUAUUUCUAAUUUAUACCUUUAGGGACAUCAACACCAACCAACAUCUUGGAAAUUUAAAAUGGUAUUUGGAUGAAAUUCGUAUUUGUAGAAGUCCGGCUUUGCAAAGGCAGAUAUGAAUUAUCUCAGAACACAUUCUGGUUCGGAGACCUAAGGGUUACGUUGUGCGACGCAGGGAUUCUCCGUGAGGCAGGCAGCCACUGUGACGUAGCAGUGACACAUCCUCUUUAGGAAAAGUCUGUGUGAUGUCCCGCGGUCUGAAGUAGUCGAUCCAUGUAUACAUCGCGAGUUACAUUAAUUAUGAGCUAUUUUUCAAGUCGGUUUGCUUGUGUUCCGUCAUGUAAUUCACUAGAUGGAUAUUAAUUAAAUUUGGUGUGGCGUGAAGAUUCAGAGUUGAAGGAAGAUUUUGUUUUGUCCCUGUCUGAUAUUAAUAAAAUUUACAUUUUUAGAAAAUUGAUCGCGGUGCAUAAAUAUGCACGUCUAUUUGGUGCCUAUGAAUUUCACGUGAAAUAUUUCAUAAUUUUGUAUCUAAUUAUUCAAAUACAAAAAAAUAACUAUUACUGGUUGCAUGGUGAAUAAUAAUAAUAAUAAUAAUAUUACUAAUGUUUCUGUCCGCAGUAGAGUUUUGUCAGAAGUAACAAACGGCGUAGGUAUUUAAAUUGCACUGGAUUCAUUUCAAAUCUCAGUGUACUCCAAACUGGAGUAUGUCUUCCCUCUUCUUUUCAUUUAUUACUUAAGUUUCCAUGACACUAUAUUUAGAGUGCGGGUAUCAUUUGCUUAGGUGCAGGUACCCGUUUUCCACUUAAACCCUGUUUUCAUAGCCUUGUGAUCUCGGCAACUUGUCUCACACGUGUGUAAAGCGUACGAUAUAAACAACCCUGUGGUGUUAAACUCAUAUGAGGGGUUGCAUAGCUAAUGAAUUUCAGGUUGACAUUUGGAAAAGGAAUUAAACUAGAACGAGGGCAGUAUGUUCAGUCCGUGUUCUCUGUGUGUCACCUCGAAAUUACUUUGAACAAAGUGAUCGAGUUUCUAGAACUCAGUAGGAAGAGAUCAUAACAACGGAGUCAGCCGGACGUGAGUCCUUCAGUUGUUAAUUAAAUUAUCUAAAAUGUAUGACUGUUUUUAUUCAGAUCAGCAGAGGCGAAACAUUGUUUUCUGAA